UGGGGAAUUUUGGACAAUGGGCGAAAGCCUGAUCCAGCAAUGCCGCGUGUGUGAAGAAGGCCUUCGGGUUGUAAAGCACUUUUGUCCGGAAAGAAAUCCUUGGCUCUAAUACAGUCGGGGGAUGACGGUACCGGAAGAAUAAGCACCGGCUAACUACGUGCCAGCAGCCGCGGUAAUACGUAGGGUGCAAGCGUUAAUCGGAAUUACUGGGCGUAAAGCGUGCGCAGGCGGUUUGCUAAGACCGAUGUGAAAUCCCCGGGCUCAACCUGGGAACUGCAUUGGUGACUGGCAGGCUAGAGUAUGGCAGAAGGGGGUAGAAUUCCACGUGUAGCAGUGAAAUGCGUAGAGAUGUGGAGGAAUACCGAUGGCGAAGGCAGCCCCCUGGGCCAAUACUGACGCUCAUGCACGAAAAGCGUGGGGAGCAAAACAGGAUUAGAUACCCUGGUAGUCCACGCCCUAAAACGAUGUCAACUAGUUGUUGGGGAUUCAUUUCCUUAGUAACGUAGCUAACGCGUGAAGUUGACCGCCUGGGGAGUACGGUCGCAAGAUUAAAACUCAAAGGAAUUGACGGGGUCAUAGCUGUUUCCU
rnacentral:rRNA from 1 species